ensembl:snRNA U6 U6 spliceosomal RNA
UUGUUUGUGUAGCACAUGUACUAAAAUUGGAAUGAUACAAGGACUAGCAUAGCCCCUGUGCAAGGAUGACAAGCCAAUGUGUGAAGCGGUUUGUAUUUAU